rnacentral:tRNA from 1 species
GGGUGUAGCUCAGUGGCAGAGCGUUUGCCUUGUGUGUGUGAGGCACUGGGUUUGAUCCUCAGCACCACA